GGGGAAUAUUGGACAAUGGGGGGAACCCUGAUCCAGCAAUGCCGCGUGUGUGAAGAAGGCCUGAGGGUUGUAAAGCACUAUCAGUGGGGAGGAGUGUUGAUUGGUUAAGAGCUGAUUGAUAGGACGUUACCCACAGAAGAAGCACCGGCUAACUCCGUGCCAGCAGCCGCGGUAAUACGGAGGGUGCGAGCGUUAAUCGGAAUUACUGGGCGUAAAGGGUGCGUAGGUUGUUGAAUAAGUUAUCUGUGAAAUUCCUGGGCUUAACCUGGGCAUGUCAGAGAAUACUGUUUGACUCGAGGAUGGGAGAGGGCAGUGGAAUUUCCGGGGUAGCGGUGAAAUGCGUAGAGAUCGGAAGGAACACCAGUGGCGAAGGCGACUGCCUGGCCUGUUACUGACACUGAGGCACGAAAGCGUGGGGAGCAAAC
rnacentral:rRNA from 1 species